GGGGGACCAUCCUCCAAGGCUAAAUACUCCUGACUGACCGAUAGUGAACCAGUACCGUGAGGGAAAGGCGAAAAGAACCCCGGCGAGGGGAGUGAAAAAGAACCUGAAACCGUGUACGUACAAGCAGUGGGAGCACGCUUAGGCGUGUGACUGCGUACCUUUUGUAUAAUGGGUCAGCGACUUAUAUUCUGUAGCAAGGUUAACCGAAUAGGGGAGCCGAAGGGAAACCGAGUCUUAACUGGGCGUUAAGUUGCAGGGUAUAGACCCGAAACCCGGUGAUCUAGCCAUGGGCAGGUUGAAGGUUGGGUAACACUAACUGGAGGACCGAACCGACUAAUGUUGAAAAAUUAGCGGAUGACUUGUGGCUGGGGGUGAAAGGCCAAUCAAACCGGGAGAUAGCUGGUUCUCCCCGAAAGCUAUUUAGGUAGCGCCUCGUGAAUUCAUCUCCGGGGGUAGAGCACUGUUUCGGCAAGGGGGUCAUCCCGACUUACCAACCCGAUGCAAACUGCGAAUACCGGAGAAUGUUAUCACGGGAGACACACGGCGGGUGCUAACGUCCGUCGUGAAGAGGGAAACAACCCAGACCGCCAGCUAAGGUCCCAAAGUCAUGGUUAAGUGGGAAACGAUGUGGGAAGGCCCAGACAGCCAGGAUGUUGGCUUAGAAGCAGCCAUCAUUUAAAGAAAGCGUAAUAGCUCACUGGUCGAGUCGGCCUGCGCGGAAGAUGUAACGGGGCUAAACCAUGCACCGAAGCUGCGGCAGCGACGCUUAUGCGUUGUUGGGUAGGGGAGCGUUCUGUAAGCCUGUGAAGGUGUGCUGUGAGGCAUGCUGGAGGUAUCAGAAGUGCGAAUGCUGACAUAAGUAACGAUAAAGCGGGUGAAAAGCCCGCUCGCCGGAAGACCAAGGGUUCCUGUCCAACGUUAAUCGGGGCAGGGUGAGUCGACCCCUAAGGCGAGGCCGAAAGGCGUAGUCGAUGGGAAACAGGUUAAUAUUCCUGUACUUGGUGUUACUGCGAAGGGGGGACGGAGAAGGCUAUGUUGUCCGGGCGACGGUUGUCCCGGUUUAAGCGUGUAGGCUGGUUUUCCAGGCAAAUCCGGAAAAUCAAGGCUGAGGCGUGAUGACGAGGCACUACGGUGCUGAAGCAACAAAUGCCCUGCUUCCAGGAAAAGCCUCUAAGCAUCAGGUAACAUCAAAUCGUACCCCAAACCGACACAGGUGGUCAGGUAGAGAAUACCAAGGCGCUUGAGAGAACUCGGGUGAAGGAACUAGGCAAAAUGGUGCCGUAACUUCGGGAGAAGGCACGCUGAUAUGUAGGUGAAGUCCCUCGCGGAUGGAGCUGAAAUCAGUCGAAGAUACCAGCUGGCUGCAACUGUUUAUUAAAAACACAGCACUGUGCAAACACGAAAGUGGACGUAUACGGUGUGACGCCUGCCCGGUGCCGGAAGGUUAAUUGAUGGGGUCAGCGCAAGCGAAGCUCUUGAUCGAAGCCCCGGUAAACGGCGGCCGUAACUAUAACGGUCCUAAGGUAGCGAAAUUCCUUGUCGGGUAAGUUCCGACCUGCACGAAUGGCGUAAUGAUGGCCAGGCUGUCUCCACCCGAGACUCAGUGAAAUUGAACUCGCUGUGAAGAUGCAGUGUACCCGCGGCAAGACGGAAAGACCCCGUGAACCUUUACUAUAGCUUGACACUGAACAUUGAGCCUUGAUGUGUAGGAUAGGUGGGAGGCUUAGAAGUGUGGACGCCAGUCUGCAUGGAGCCGACCUUGAAAUACCACCCUUUAAUGUUUGAUGUUCUAACGUUGACCCGUAAUCCGGGUUGCGGACAGUGUCUGGUGGGUAGUUUGACUGGGGCGGUCUCCUCCUAAAGAGUAACGGAGGAGCACGAAGGUUGGCUAAUCCUGGUCGGACAUCAGGAGGUUAGUGCAAUGGCAUAAGCCAGCUUGACUGCGAGCGUGACGGCGCGAGCAGGUGCGAAAGCAGGUCAUAGUGAUCCGGUGGUUCUGAAUGGAAGGGCCAUCGCUCAACGGAUAAAAGGUACUCCGGGGAUAACAGGCUGAUACCGCCCAAGAGUUCAUAUCGACGGCGGUGUUUGGCACCUCGAUGUCGGCUCAUCACAUCCUGGGGCUGAAGUAGGUCCCAAGGGUAUGGCUGUUCGCCAUUUAAAGUGGUACGCGAGCUGGGUUUAGAACGUCGUGAGACAGUUCGGUCCCUAUCUGCCGUGGGCGCUGGAGAACUGAGGGGGGCUGCUCCUAGUACGAGAGGACCGGAGUGGACGCAUCACUGGUGUUCGGGUUGUCAUGCCAAUGGCACUGCCCGGUAGCUAAAUGCGGAAGAGAUAAGUGCUGAAAGCAUCUAAGCACGAAACUUGCC
rnacentral:rRNA from 1 species